AUUGAACGCUGGCGGCAUGCCUAACACAUGCAAGUCGAACGGCAGCACGGCAGUAGCAAUACUGUGGGUGGCGAGUGGCGGACGGGUGAGGAAUACGUCGGAAUCUGCCCAGUCGUGGGGGAUAACUAGCCGAAAGGUUAGCUAAUACCGCAUACGACCGAGAGGUGAAAGCGGGGGACCGCAAGGCCUCGCGCGAUUGGAUGAGCCGACGUCGGAUUAGCUAGUUGUGGGGUAAAGGCCCACCAAGGCGACGAUCCGUAGCUGGUCUGAGAGGAUGAUCAGCCACACUGGAACUGAGACACGGUCCAGACUCCUACGGGAGGCAGCAGUGGGGAAUAUUGGACAAUGGGCGCAAGCCUGAUCCAGCAAUGCCGCGUGUGUGAAGAAGGCC
rnacentral:rRNA from 1 species